UGUAUUUGCCUUUGAAUUUUUUGGAUUAUCACUCUGGUUAAAUACAUAAUUAUUUUGUGAGAAAAUAGGCUUGCUUAUGGAAUAUUCCUGGAGAAAACUCCAGUGAUAGAGGUGCUCAUUUUACUGAACGAGCUGCAAAAUAGUCAAGUAUUUCAAACACAAUCGCAUCCAGGAAUCUAACUGAAUAAAUUGGAUUGGCCAAAGGUAUUAUCACUUGAUGGCAAUCAGAUCCAAUCCCACUGGGGAACACUAAUUGACCCCUUACAAAUAGUCAUUGGAAGGCCUAUGCCCCUAAUAAUAGAACUUCAUGUAUCUCACAUUCAUGAAUUGUGACAUGACUCAAUAUUGCCAGGCUUUAAAGCAUGUUGCCCAGUUAUAUUUUCACCAGGUAAAAGCCCUUCAUGACCCAACAACAAUCUAACCAUGUACAACCUAGAACCUGAAGAUUGGGUCUUUGGAAAUUAUACCACAAAAAGACUGCUUUCGAAGUUUGUUGGAAGAGACCAUACCAAGUUCUACCCACAUGGCAGUAUAACUUAAGGGUCUCGAGGCUUAGAUCCACUUUUCUCAAUCUAACAGAACCCCUUCAGAAUCUUGGGACUGUAAACCCACUGAAGACCCCAAGGUAAAACUAACAAGAGUGGUUUUUCCUCAAAACCAGCCCAUGGCAGACAUCCAGCUGAUCACACUGUGUCCACAUAAGGCAAAUGCUGAGCUGUAAUCCAUCAAGCUGUUUCCGCAUAGAGAAAAGGCCAUAUGAGUACACAGCCAGAAGGUGUCUGCCUACAAGACAAAGAGGGAAAACUUACCUGAAACCAACCCUGAUGGAUAUUGGAUUUCUAAGCUCCAGAACUGUGAGAAAAUUAAUUUUAUGUGCUUUAAGACACUCAAUUUGUGGUAUUCUGUUAUGGCAGCCUAUGCUAGUCAAUUUGCAUUACCAUAAAGCAACACCUGAGAGUGGGUAAAUUAUAAAGAAAAGAAGUUGAAUCGGCUCAUGGUUCUGCAGGCAGUACAGAAGCAUAGUGCUGGCAAUUGCCCCUGGCAAGGGGCUCAGGAAGCUUACAAACAUGGCAGAAGGCAAAGGGAAGCCAACAUAUCACACGUAAGCUCAGGAAGCUUACAAACAUGGCAGAAGGCAAAGGGAAGCCAACAUAUCACGUGGCGAGAAAGACAGAGAAGCGGUAGGUCCCAGACUCUUUUAAACAACAAGACCUCAUGUGAACUGAGGGGAAACUCACUUUCACCAAGGAGAUGGUGCUAAACCACUAAUGAGGGAUCUGUCCCAUGAGCCAAUCACCUCCCACCAAGACCUACCUCCAAUUUUGGAAAUUAUAUUUCAACAUGAGAUUUGGAGGGGACAAACAUCCAAACCAUAUCCCAGCCUGAGCAGACUAACAGAGUCUCUGAAUAAAUCUAUGAAAAUGACUAGAGUAUUAUUUUGUUGAGUGAUUUCUUCUUGUAUUAGGAUUGGUCUCCUUGAAAAUAUUUUUCUCAUAUCUGUUAUAAUAAAAUACUGAGAAUCAUACUAAUUCUACUCUAAACUUAGAUAUUUAAGAGGGUUGGAUUUGACUGAUUGCUCUGAUGUUGCUAACAUAGUCAAAGACUUUUCAAAACUAAAGUGUAAUAUUAUGUCAUGCAACCUUGAGAAAAUUACAAUGGACAAAGCAGAACUAUAAUUCACAAUUCAUCUCCCAAACAAAUUGUGACACCCCUUCUUUCCAAUCCACUGAAAUAUGCCUAAAAUGAGAAAAAAGGGAAAUCUUAAAAACAACAACAACAACAACAAAGAAAAAACAGAAAACGGCAACAUUCAGGCAAAAAAGAAUGUGAGGACUAUGAUGCUGGCAUGCUAAACUUAAUUAAUAAUAAAUGAGAGAGUUUGGAAUGAU
rnacentral:lncRNA from 1 species